UGGGGAAUAUUGCACAAUGGGCGAAAGCCUGAUGCAGCGACGCCGCGUGAGUGAAGAAGUAUUUCGGUAUGUAAAGCUCUAUCAGCAGGGAAGAAAAUGACGGUACCUGACUAAGAAGCCCCGGCUAACUACGUGCCAGCAGCCGCGGUAAUACGUAGGGGGCAAGCGUUAUCCGGAUUUACUGGGUGUAAAGGGAGCGUAGACGGCGAAGCAAGUCUGAAGUGAAAACCCAGGGCUCAACCCUGGGACUGCUUUGGAAACUGUUUUGCUAGAGUGUCGGAGAGGUAAGUGGAAUUCCUAGUGUAGCGGAGAAAUGCGUAGAUAUUAGGAGGAACACCAGGGGAGAAGGCGGCUUACUGGACGAUAACUGACGUUGAGGCUCGAAAGCGUGGGGAGCAAACAGG
rnacentral:rRNA from 1 species